UACGUAGGGUGCGAGCGUUGUCCGGAAUUACUGGGCGUAAAGAGCUCGUAGGCGGUUUGUCGCGUCUGCUGUGAAAACCUAAGGCUCAACCUUGGGCUUGCAGUGGGUACGGGCAGACUAGAGUGCGGUAGGGGGUGACUGGAAUUCCUGGUGUAGCGGUGGAAUGCGCAGAUAUCAGGAGGAACACCGAUGGCGAAGGCAGGUCACUGGGCCGCAACUGACGCU
rnacentral:rRNA from 1 species